AUUUUUUUUAUUCACUUAUAUUGUUUUUGUCAUCCGAUUUUUCUUCCUGAGUAUGCACAUAAAUCUUCACUAUGCGUGUUCACUACUAUCAUUACUAUUACUACUACUACAGAAUAAGCCUUAAAUUCUUAAAGAAUAUUUUCAUUUGAAACUUCAUCAUUUUCGUGACGUUUUCUUCUAUUCAACAAACAGUUUUAGUCUUAUUUGUUAUUUGACUAUUACGUGAGUACAUGCUUCACUUCACUAGUGGUGUUGCUGUGGUUUCUUCCGCAUUCCUCCGUGUUCCCACAACCAGAUUGCAGUUAUGUUUUACUAGUAAUAUCUGUGAAUAUUCCACUCACCGCCCUGUCAUCCCUGUGCAGCGUCGCCUCAGAAUUUCGAGAUUUAACUCCGUGUUUACAUUCGCAGGCGGCAACAUGGCAGCACCCAGUGUGCAGUGCAGGCAUGGCGGACCAACAGCCUAAAGAUGCAGCUUGGGGCACUGGUCAUGAAAGCAAGCCUGCCUAACGCCAUCAGCUGGCCGCCAUCAUGACACUAUCCAGGCUUCCUUCAAGGAUGCGGGACACUCACACUGCGCUAUGUAAAAUUCACAGCAGCGACGGGUUGCCGCUGUUGGAAAGUUGCCUUGGUUCGACAGGAAGCACAGGACUGCAGACUCAUGGCUCUCGGUGGUAAUGGGAGGCGCGUGAGACUCGAAACGUCUUCCGCUGGAAUGAAAUCGUACAGUGUUGUGGAAAUGUUGUGCUUUAAAUUGCCCUCACGAUAAUGGCGGCUCAAGAACGUCGCCAAGGACAGAUUUAUUCUAGUAAAUUUAUUUUUAUUUAUUUAUUAUUAUUAUUAUUCUGAUAUUUUGUCCAUUAAUCGAUAUUUGUCUGUCUAUCUAUCUAUGUUUUUAGCUACAUAUCCACACACACACACACACACACACACACACACACACACACACACACACACAGACUAGCUGAGAUCUUGCGUGAAGAGACACAUACAAACAGUUUGGACAGCACACCGCUUGUCUUGUCUUAAUGUGGGGAUAGAAAUAAAGGAGAAGGAGGGAUUCCCAGUCCCUUCCCCCCGUACUCUUUGGUCGCCUUUACACUGCCAGGGAAUACGGUGGCAGUGAUUUAUCCCCCCGACGCAGUGAUAUCUUGCCUCAAUGGUCGUCCUGAAGUAAACUACCAAGCGAUGUGUCUGUUUUUUUUUUGUAUUUUGGUGUGUUUUAGCAGAAUGAAGUUUGUAUUUCGUAUAUGCAACCCCACCGCUGCUGCUGCUACUACUACUACUACUACUACUACUACUACUACUAUCACCGCCACCAUCGUCACCACCACAACAACAACAACAACAACCAUGGUCGCUGGGCGGAUAUAAAACCCCCCAUCAUUUGUCCGUCCACUCCUAGGUGCUGCAGUUGAUGCGUUAGUUGACGGGACCAAUUUUUCCUUGAUUGUCUUCCAUUGGGUGAUGUGGUGACAUGCUUGGUGGGGCAUUAAAAGCACCUUACACCCUUUAUAGACCGUCUCUUUACUCCACGCUUCAAACUUUUCUUGUACCUACUUUGUAAAUAAAUGAUGAAUUCUUAGCUAAACUAUUGCUAACUAACUAAUCAGCUAACUGACUGACUGACUAACUGACUAACUGACGGACUGACUGACUUACUGACUGACUGACUAAAUAAAUAAA